GUGGGGAAUAUUGGACAAUGGGCGCAAGCCUGAUCCAGCAAUGCCGCGUGGGUGAAGAAGGUCUUCGGAUCGUAAAGCCCUUUCGACAGGGACGAUGAUGACGGUACCUGUAGAAGAAGCCCCGGCUAACUUCGUGCCAGCAGCCGCGGUAAUACGAAGGGGGCUAGCGUUACUCGGAAUUACUGGGCGUAAAGGGCGCGUAGGCGGCUCUGUUAGUCAGGCGUGAAAUUCCUGGGCUUAACCUGGGGACUGCGCUUGAUACUGCAGGGCUUGAGGCCGAGAGAGGGUGGUGGAAUUCUCAGUGUAGAGGUGAAAUUCGUAGAUAUUGGGAAGAACACCGGUGGCGAAGGCGACCACCUGGCUCGGUUCUGACGCUGAGGCGCGACAGCGUGGGGAGCAAACAGGAUUAGAUACCCGGGUAGUCC
rnacentral:rRNA from 1 species